rnacentral:lncRNA from 1 species
GAAUCUUUUUUCUUUUCUUUAGUUUUUUUAAUUUGUUUUUGGUUUGGUUUUGUUUUUUACUCACUAUACAAGGAAGAUCAUUUCUUUCUAUAAGUCACAGUGCUGAGAAUUUGCAUUUAAAGCACCUUUGUAUCUUCAGUCAGGGAAACACACUUGCUGCUCAGCUUGCUUACUCCUUUCAUUCAGUUCAGGAAUUCAGCCCAUGGAAUGACACUGCUCACAUUCAUAGUAGGUCUUUGCUCUACUGUUAAGCCUUUAUUGAAACAACCUUAUUGACACAGCCAAUGGUAUGUUUUCCCAAAGGAUGCUUAAUCCCAUAAAACUGAAUGAAGACUGAGUGUCUUUAUUUAUAAAAAGAGGUAAUGUAUCAAUUGUUGUAUCCUUAUUUUGAUACUAUUCUGUCUGAGUAAUGCAAUAAAACUUCCAUAAGGUGGUAGUCAAUAAUGCCAGAACAUAAUUCUCAAAUGUUCCUGAAAAGGUAGUUAUUAGUACUUUUCUCAAUGUGAAUGUUAUUUUAGGCUUUCUUCAAAUGUAAAAAAAAAAAAAAAAAAAAAGAGGCACUCACCUAGCUUCCCUCUCUGUACCUCCCGAUCCAUGGGACCAUCAAGCUGUCUCUAUGAAGAAGCUCAGCCUAUAGCCUUUGGAUGAUCAGGAAGAUAUGACCAGCUCUGUGUAUCAGAGCUCUGUUAGGUCCUCCUGCAGUCUAUUGAUCUUUCUGAAAAAUUAUGAGCACUCCAUUUGUCUUAGUGGGGAUAAAUAUCAGUCAAGAUGUAAGAUUUUUUUUUGAUCCAUGUUGCAGUGCUAAGAUUAUAAGAGCCAAAGACAUCUGAAAAAUUGUCCAAAGAGUUCAUAAAUUUCACAAGAAAGAAAGCUAUGUUACUUCCCUAUUCUGUUCCUUCUCCCUUACAGCAUUUUAACAAUUGUAAAAACAAGUUUUCUAAUCAUGAAAAUUGGUACAAAUAUUUGAACCAAAAUAGUCAUUAAGUUGGUUCAAGUAUACAGGAGGCAAUGUGUUUAAGUUAUUUUCCAGGUCUAGAAUCUUGCUUGAGGGCAAAACACUAGUUUACCAUAUAUAAGGCCCUGAGGUCAAUCCUUGGCACCAGCGAGUAGAUAUUCUGUACCUCUCAAACUAUUAUAUGGCAUACAUGAUCCUAUAUUUUUACUAAGAUAUGGGUUGUCUUUAUGAUUAGAAUAUGAAUUUGAUCUGUAUAAUAAGUCAUUCCUCAUGGGUGGCUUACUGGCUUAGUCCAUAACCAACCUUUUUGUUUUUUUCCUUAUUGAAGGGUGAGACUGUUCCCUUAUUCUCCUUUGAUUGGAGAUUGAUUUCAGUCUUUCUUGAUCCCCGAUCUGUGCCCAUGGCCUUACACCCAGGUAGUGAGUUUAUACUGAGAUGGUGCUCUCAACCCUAUCACUUGCUCUGAUCAGUGGAUGCUCCCAAUACCCCAACAUAAGCCUAAAAUUAUUCUGUCUUCUCACUGCAAUGGAUUGCCCAGGUCAGCCCAGUUCUAGGAUGAAGCGAUCAGGGGAUUGAGAAAAACAAAACACAACAAACUAAACAAAUAAGCAAUAAC